GUGGGUUUCUUAAAUAUAAGGAAGAAUAAAACAGGGAAUUAAGUAUCAAAUAUAUACUCAGCAUUCAAACCCAGGGACUAAUAUUUAAAUCUGAAAGCUCUUUUAUCCUCCCAAAUAUACAUAUCUUUAAAAAAAAAAUCAAUGACAAAAUAAUCAAACUGCUCAUUACCUUGAACAAAAUUAGGUAAAUCUUUUUGUGCCUUGCACACUCAUCACUCUUUAAUAAUGCUAAAUCUCACAAUAGGGUCCUAUGAUUAAGUAGUCCCUACUCUGUACAAGAAUUGAAUAGAGGUCAAAUAUGAGAAGUUUAUUUUCUGAAAAUAUUCCAAAUGCACUAGCUAUUUCCAGCCAAGAAUGAUGAAAUCACGAUAAUAAUCAAUAUUCAUAGACCCUUGUACUGUGUAAAAAAUACAGAUGUGAGGGGUUAAUAAUGUUGAUGGAGGGCAAAGGGGAGGACUGGGGCUAUUUUUUCAAAGGAAUAGGAGGUAAGGUCACUAGCAGGUAGAAGAGGGCCAGAUGGAGCGCCCAUCUGAGAUUUGUAACCAGAAAUUUAAAGUAAAAAUAGUUAACAAGGGUAUAUAUUUCCCUCUGGGAACAUCUGAUUCAGAUACAAGCAUAAAAUAGACAAUGGUUUUAUAACCAGGGUCUGGGCUUUUCUAUGAACACCUGCAAGGUAGAAAGACAAGGGAGUUAGAUACCUGAUUUGAUUAAAAAGACAAAUGAAGACACAGGACAGGAUGUCUGGGAAUGAAACAGUGGUGAGUUUAAGGAAAAGGAGAUCUCCAGCUUAGACUGAUAGAGAACUAAAACUUAGGCCUUCACAUAAAUUACCUGAACUUCCCCUCAGAAAGCCAAAAGGGAUUAUUCUCCCCAUUUUACAGGUGAGGAAAGUGAAACUCAGAGAAUUUCAAUGUCUUGUACAAGAUCACAGAGUAAAGAACAAUGACAGCUAGGACUGGAGCCCAGAACUUCCAACUCCAAACUCUGAAAUCUCAACCCAAGAAUAAGGACGUUUCUCUAAGAAGGUAUUUUAUGGUGUCUCUGCUAUCCAUUUAGUUCAUUGCUCUCACAGAAAAUGCAUUUCCUGGGAAGAGUCGUAUCAACCAAAUGGAAAAGGAAGAAAAGAAGAAUGCAAUGCUGAUGGGCUGGGCAGCACAAGACUAAAGUUGUAUCUCUUUGUGACUGUUCUCCACAUAACAUGGAAAAAUAAAAUUUAGGAACUCCAAGACAUAAACAGAGUAUUUUCAGUGCAUCCUUGAAGGGAGUCUGUUCAAUUGUAUAUACUACUGAAAAUUUGCUGUACAGCAGAAAAAAAGCUAGUAUAGAGCUGCUUGUUAAAACUCACGAUGAGCAAAAAGAGCCUUCCAGGCAACUUCCAUCAGAACUCUCAGUUCAGAAGCCUGAGUUUAAAACUGCUUCUGUUCCUCAAGGUUACUAGGGAUCCUUGAGAAUGUGCAUGACAGAGGGAUGAUCAGAACUACAUGUGUUAUUCCUCUCCAUCCAAAGAGAUGAUAACUAUACUACAGAAGAAUUUUCACUGAAGGAAGACAAAGUCUAUUUAAUGCCUCCUGGGAAGCAAGAAAAUUUCAGGUAAACAAUUCCAAUGCAGAUUGUGAAUCUUACCCAACUAGACAGAUCCUGGGAGAUAAAUAUAACAACAGGUAGAACACACAAACAAACUAGCAAGCUUUACAAUCCAUUCAGUACUUUUACUUUACAGAUGCAAAGGUUUAUUUACUCAUGCCCUGCCUUAUUUUUCAGUAGAAGUUCUGAGUGAUAAGAACUCUUUCUAUAAACCAUAGAAACUUAUAAAUAAGGAUGCAAAACCAGAGCCAGGAAAAAUGCACAAAGGUGUAGAAAACAAAGUAAGAAAAAAAGAAUCAUUCCCUUUUUUUAUUUUAAUGAUUUUUAUUUUUUCCUUUAUAGCUGGUUUACAAUGUUCUGUCAAUUUUCUACUGUACAGCAAGGUGACCCAGUGACACAUACAUAUAUACAUUCUUUUCUCACAUUAGCUCUAUUAUGCUCCCUCUUAAGUGACUAGAUACAGUUUCCAGUGCUAUACAGCAGGAUCUCAUUGCUUAUCCAUUCCAAAGCAAUAAUUUGCCUCUAUUAACCCCAGACUCCCAGUCCAUCCCAUUCCUUCCCCAUCCCCCUUGGCAACCACAAGUCUGUUCUCCAAGUCCAUGAGUUUCCUUUCUGUGGAAAAGUUCAUCUGUGCUGUACAUUAGAUUCCAGAUAUAAGUGAUAUCAUAUGGUAUUUGCCUUUUUCUUUCUGACUUCACUCAGGAUGCGUCUCUAGUUCCAUUCAUGUUGCUGCAAAUGGCAUUAUUUUGUUCUUUUUAUGGCUGAGUAGUAUUCCAUUGUGUGUAUAUAUACCACAUCUUCUUAAUCCAUUCAUCUGUCAAUGGACAUUUAGGCUGUUUCCAUGUCUUGGUUAUUGUGAAUAGUGUUGCAGUGAACAUACAGGUGUAUGUGUCUAUUUCAAGGAAAGCGUUGUCUGGAUAUAUGCCCAAGAGUGAGACUGCAGGGUCAUGUGGCAGUUCUAUAUAUAGUUUUCUGAGAUACCUCCACACUGUUUUCCAUAGAGGUUAUACCAGAUUACAUUCCCACCAAUAGUGUAAGGGGGGGUCCCUUUUCUCCACACCCUCUCCAGCGUUUGUUUUUUGUGGAUAAUCAUUCCCUUUAAUAACCAAUAUUUAUGAUUUGCAAGGGGGUUUCCACGACUUGAAUUCAGAGUUCUUCCCCUCAGUGUUCUUGACUUCCUCAUAAUGCAGGUGCAAACCCCAGCUCAGCCCAGUCCCUGGCCUGACGUUGCCAGAUGGCCAGUGUCACCCCUAACAAGAAACUUGGGACCACCAACUACUCUUGGUCAACAGAUGCCUUGGAAGUUCUGUCUGGUUUACCUCAUAAUUAUCUCUCUUUUGGUUUUUAUUGUUAGCAAUGAUGUUGGUGGUUGGCUGGUUUGUAUAUAACCAUUCCUAAGUCUGGAUCUUCUGGUUUGGAAGUCACCUUCCUGAUUUGUACAUGGCCCUGGAUUAUAUGCUUAAUGCUCCGGUUAGAGCCCCAUACGUAUCCACUGCCACCUCCUUUGGUCUCCUGGUCCCUUCCUCUUGGUCAGUGUGCUGAUUCAGCCCUGGUAUUAAUUCAAGGUCUUCUCUCUUACCUGCCCAAUUUAAAAUGAAUGGAUUUCUAAUAUACUCUCGCAUGGGAUUUUAAAAAUCGGUGACAAUCCUCCAAAUUAAGAAUAUAAAAAGAGUCUUGGUGGAUGACCAAAGUCAUCAAUGAAAGUAAGUGGAACAAGAUAAAAAGACCCAGGCAAUGUGUAUGCCUUUCUUUCCUCCUAAAUCAAAAAGUCACGCAUUGUCACUGUGUUAUUAAAUUUAUUGAUCUCAUUUGUGUUGUCUGUAACAUGGCCCUAAAGCUUGGGGACAGGUAGAAGACAUGUUCAAUCAAAUCUGGCACCGUGCCCAGCAGAACAUUUAGUGCAUCAGCACAAUGAAUAUCACUGUGCUGAUGAAAACUUAAGGGUGGGAAUAAUUUGGAAACCCUUCAGAGGAAGGCAACAGAGAUGGCCAUUAAACAGUUGAAAAGUGAUCUACACUUAAGAAAAGGUUCAUGGAACUAGGCUAUUUAGCCUGCAGAAGAGGCAGUUAAGUGCAGCAUAAUAAUAAAUCCACAUUGGUGUGCUACCUCUUAUACAAAAGAUCAUAAACAGCUAUUCUUCAACUUCAGCCAAUUACAGAACAAGGAGGAAAGAACCCCAGUGGAGCAGCAGACAUUUCAGCUCUAGGCAAGCAGACAUUUCUUUUGAAAAUCAAAGUUUUAAAAACUAGAUUUAGUUUUUGUGGAAGAGAAAUUACAAUUUCUCUUCUCUCUCUCUCUCUUUUUUUUUUUUUAAUGAGACAGCAUCCUCCUAUCUCCCAGACAUAUUUUUAAAACAAAAAUCUCUUUUGCUCACUAACUGCAAUCUUCUUUCACAUUUUUCCUAUUUUACAUAUAUAUGCAUUUAAUUUAGCAUCAGACACCUGGCUAGCAAACAACAGGCACUGUGCGUAUUUGAUUUGGUGCCUGAAGACAGUUGUUCAGCCCAGAUCCAGCACGUCACAAAAGUGAGAGCGUCCAAAAAAAACACCUUGCAUCUAGUCCUUUCUAGCAGUCUGCUUAUAUCUCCCAGAUUCUCUAUUUUGAAGUCAUAAAUGUGCUCGCACAAGGAAACUGAACCUCCCAUGAACCCAUAUUAUUUUUAAGGUUCUUAUAGAUGGAUUUAGUUACUAAUUUUUAAUGCAGUGGGGACACAAGUGCCAUAGAAUAUAAACAAUUUCUCCCCCUAUAUAAAUCACCUUCCUCUGUCUCAUAGACUAACCCUUGGAACAGCUGGUAUCUGAGGAUGGCUGUUUACUUUAGACUUUGUUCUCAAGUAGAUAAGAACUGUCAGGCAGAGGAAAUAUACAUAGAGGGGUGUGUGUGUGUGUGUGUGUGUGUGUGUGUGUGUGUGUCAUAUAUGGAGACAUCUCAGACACAAGACAUAAAAUCUCCAUGAUUUAGGCUUUAUUUCAGUAUUUUAGAAUAUAAACAGGUCCAUUUGGUUGGAUUUAGCUUUGCUCAAUUAAAGCUGAAUUUAUGUCAUACCAUCAAGCAUCGGUAUCGACAUUUGGUGGCAUUCAAGAUGGUAUUUACACUCACUGUUCUGAACGUCCAUGCAACUGUUUGCAUUAGGUUCAAGCCUCCCGCUCCCUGUUUGUUGAGGUUCACCUAACAUAGUUGAACCCCAUAAAGAUUCCUGAAAGCGGCUCUUCAUGCUAAAGCAACUCCAUAGAAAGCUGUGCAUGUGCAGCACAGAAUAUAUCAGCCAUCUGUCCAGAAAAACGUAUCCAUAUGCUUCCAAGGGCAUUUGUUGAAUUAGACUUCAGCACAAGUUUUCAUCCUCCUGUUGGAGGAAGAGCAAUUCCUGCCCCGCUCCCCAUCAAAUACUUUAGCCUGAAAAGGCU
rnacentral:lncRNA from 1 species